rnacentral:lncRNA from 1 species
AUGGCGAGGCCACGUCCCUGGGGAUACCCGGGGCAUCCUGGUGCUCACCCCCAGGGGGUUUCCUCAAUUUGGGGGGAGGUCUGGGGGGGUGAUGACUGCCCCCUGCCCCAUCCUGGGGUGACUCCAGCCCCGUGCCGGCAGGAUCAGGCCCUGCAUCAGGCCACCGGAGCCACCCAAUUGCCGGUAAUGGGGAAGGAGGGGCGGUGGCGGGGUUGGGGGGGGGGGACACAGGGGGGUCACGGCCACCGCCGUGCCCCCAAAAGGCACGGCAGCCCCUUUGGGGUGACCGCCUCGCCAUGGGGCACGGCCACCCCGUCCCUCCCGCCACCCCAGUGGGGCAUUGCCAUGGGAACUGCCUGCUCAGCCCUUCGUCACCGUCACCGCGGCCCCGCAGCGUGUGCUGGGAGGGGGGGGGGGGCGACGCCGGGACCCUUUCGGUGCCGGCUGCGAGCUGAACAAAGCCCUGAGCUGGAGAGGGCCGGGGGGGGGCUGCCCCCACCGCUGGGGACGUCCUGGGGCCACCGUCCCCAUGCAGCAGCGGGGUCCUUCGUGCACGCAGCGGGUGCCGCCUGGUUUUGGGGGGGAUACCCUUAUCCUGCACCCCCCCCCCGUGCACCCCCAUACAGCCCACACUCCCCCCCCGCUCCCCUCUUACCUCCGGGGGGGGUUCAGUGCAUCCUUCCCCGUCCCGGUGCCGUCACACCAGCGCUCGCCCUGCUGUCCCCGAGGGCUUCGAGGCAGCACCGGGCACCCCACGGAUACCCGGGGGGGGGGGGAUUUUGGGGUGUCGGGGAGGGGGGAGCAGGGAGAGCAGGUCCCCGCUGCGUGGCCGGGAGCUGCCACCACCGCGUGAGUCAGAGCAGGGCCGGCGGCGGGGGCACGUGGCUGCGCGGCAGCACCGCUCGGCGAGGCCAGGCUGGGCCCACGGGCACCCCGCUGCCCCCCAUGGUGGUCCCGGACCCCACACAGGAACCCAAACCCAUGGGCUGGGGGGGGGGGAGAAGGAGGGGCAGGGGAUGCUCUGCCAGGGCCUCGGUGCCACCAGGAUCACGGCCGGGGCCCCCCGGUGCUGGUGCAGCCCCAUGGGGUGGGGGGCACAGCAGCACGGGACCCCCCCCCCCACGGUACCAGCCCUGGGUGGGGAGGGGAUGGGCAGGGAGGGGAGGGGAGGGCAGGCAGUACCCAGGGAUGCUCCGGGCGCUCCCUUGUUGCCAUGGCAACUGCAGGGGGGGGGAGUGA